CGAACGCUGGCGGCGUGCCUAAUACAUGCAAGUCGAACGAUGAAGUCCUUCGGGACGUAUCAGUGGCGAACGGGUGAGUAACACGUAAGCAAUCUGCCUUGCGGACCGGGAUAACAUUGCGAAAGUGAUGCUAAAACCGGACGAUGUCGUGGAAUCGCAUGGUUUGACGACCAAACAGGGGCCUCUUUUAUGCUUCUGCCGUGAGAUGAUCUUGCGUCCCAUUAGCUAGUUGGUGUGGUAACGGCGCACCAAGGCUGAGAUGGGUAGCCGGCCUGAGAGGGUGAACGGCCACACUGGAACUGAGACACGGUCCAGACUCCUACGGGAGGCAGCAGUAGGGAAUAUUGGGCAAUGGGCGAAAGCCUGACCCAGCAACGCCGCGUGGGUGAUGAAGCCUUUCGAGGUGUAAAGCCCUUUUGAGUGGGAAGAAGGUGUAGGUGGAAUAAGACGCCAUCUUACUGACGGUACCGUUCGAAUAAGCCCCGGCUAACUCC
rnacentral:rRNA from 1 species